rnacentral:rRNA from 1 species
UACGUAGGGUGCAAGCGUUAAUCGGAAUUACUGGGCGUAAAGCGUGCGCAGGCGGUUCGGAAAGAAGGAUGUGAAAUCCCAGGGCUUAACCUUGGAACUGCAUUCUUAACUGCCGGGCUAGAGUAUGUCAGAGGGGGGUAGAAUUCCACGUGUAGCAGUGAAAUGCGUAGAGAUGUGGAGGAACACCGAUGGCGAAGGCAGCCUUCUGGGCCAACACUGACGCUCAUGCACGAAAGCGUGGGGAGCAAACAGG